rnacentral:rRNA from 1 species
AAGUCGCAAGCUCGCGAGAGUAAGCUAAUCUCUUAAAGCCGUUCUCAGUUCGGACUGUAGGCUGCAACUCGCCUACACGAAGUCGGAAUCGCUAGUAAUCGCGGAUCAGCAUGCCGCGGUGAAUGCGUUCCCGGGCCUUGUACACACCGCCCGUCACACCAUGGGAGUUUGUAACGCCCAAAGUCGGUGGCCUAACCUUUAUGGAGGGAGCCGCCUAAGGCGGGACAGAUGACUGGGGUGAAGUCGUAACAAGGUACC